ensembl:lncRNA
AGGAGGGUUAGCCGAGCGUUAGGAGGGUUAGCCGAGCGUUAGGAGGGUUAGCCGAGCGUUAGGAGGGUUAGCCGAGCGUUAGGAGGGUUAGCCCAGCGUUAGGAGGGUUAGCCGAGCGUUAGGAGGGUUAGCCGAACGUUAGGAGGGUUAGCCGAGCGUUAGGUGGGUUAGCCGAGCGUUAGAAGGGGUAGCUGAGCAUUACGAGGGUUAGCCGAGCGUUAGGAGGGUUAGCUGAGCGUUAAGAGGGUUAGCUGAGCGUUAAGAGGGUUAGCUGAGCGUUAAGAGGGUUAGCUGAGUGUUAAGAGGAUUAGCUGAGUGUUAGGCGGGUUAGCUGAGCGUUAGGAGGGUUAGCUGAGUGUUAGGCGGGUUAGCUGAGCGUUAGGAGGGUUAGCUGAGCGUUAGGAGGGUUAGCUGAGCGUUAGGAGGGUUAGCUGAGCGUUAGGAGGGUUAGCUGAGUGUUAGGAGGGUUAGCUGAGCGUUAGGAGGGUUAGCUGAGCGUUAGGAGGGUUAACUGAGCAUUAGGAGGGUUAGCUGAGCGUUAGAGAUGUUCAGGACGACGAGGGCUUUGCAAUCACAGUUGAUCAUGUGCAUGAUUUUAAAAAUUGUCAAACCUCAACAUAUUCAAUGUAAUAAAUCCAUCAGACAUUGCUCAUGUCCAAGGAGGACUCUGCUAAAAAUGUGUCUGUUAUUACAAAAUGGACAGGAGUGAUGUGAUAUAUGAUGAAGUUAGAUAUGAAAACAUUUGUUUAAAAAAUAAAAAAAAAUAAAAAAAAUGUACUCACCUUCAAUAUAUAAAUGAAACCCUAUCCAGACAGCAUCCAGACGAAGAACCAGAAAGCAACUGGAAACCAGAGUAUAGAGAUGCCUUCAACCAAAAGGUUGUUGUGUUCUAGCCAUGUUCUCUUGACGAGUGUGUGCAGUUCGUCUUCUGACUCCGCACAGUAAAAAGACAAUGAACGGGGAAGAGUACAAAUCAACCAAACCACAGGUCACUCACAGCUUCCUCUUUUCAGCUUCUCUGUGCCAUUUUAUCUGAGGACAAAGUGGCACACUCAUGUACAGCCACACAAGCCUUGCUCCAAUAUUACACAAUCACUCACACAUUUCAUGCAUUUUUUUCGUUCUUCAGUUCAUACACUUUCAAAAGCUU